rnacentral:lncRNA from 1 species
CUUUCCUGAACUUCUCUUUCCCUGACAGCUUGUCAAGGAAGUCGUAAUAGAAUUUCAUGUGGAAGGUCAGUCCAUCAAUGUGGAGCACUCCAAUGUCCUUGAAGACAACGGCAACGUUCUCCCCAUUCUUCAGGCAGCCAGAGAGCAGGGACACGGUGCUUUGGAUGCAAGCCUGCGCUGUCUGCCAGUGCUUCCCUGGAACUGCUUCUUGUGGCCAUCAGCCAGAACGGCCCCAUGUUUGGCUGGGCUCCUCCGAGGGGGAGGUUUGCUUUGGAGAAUGGAGGCGGUGGCCCUGUUGGCCCUGUGCGUGAAGCCAGCAAAGCUUUAAUCCUCCC